UACGUAGGGUGCGAGCGUUGUCCGGAUUUAUUGGGCGUAAAGAGCUCGUAGGCGGUUUGUCGCGUCGGCCGUGAAAUCUCCACGCUUAACGUGGAGCGUGCGGUCGAUACGGGCAGACUUGAGUUCGGUAGGGGGAGACUGGAAUUCCUGGUGUAGCGGUGAAAAUGCGCAGAUAUCAGGAGGAACACCGGUGGCGAAGGCGGGUCUCUGGGCCGAUACUGACGUGAGGAGCGAAAGCGUGGGGGAGCGAACAGG
rnacentral:rRNA from 1 species